AGUGAACGCUGGCGGUAGGCCUAACACAUGCAGGCCGAACGGCAGCACAGUAAGAGCUUGCUCUUACGGGUGGCGAGUGGCGGACGGGUGAGGAAUACAUCGGAAUCUACUUUUUCGUGGGGGAUAACGUAGGGAAACUUACGCUAAUACCGCAUACGACCUACGUGUGAAAGCAGGGGAUCUUCGGACCUUGCGCGAUUGAAUGAGCCGAUGUCGGAUUAGCUAGUUGGCGGGGUAAAGGCCCACCAAGGCGACGAUCCGUAGCUGGUCUGAGAGGAUGAUCAGCCACACUGGAACUGAGACACGGUCCAGACUCCUACGGGAGGCAGCAGUGGGGAAUAUUGGACAAAGGGCGCAAGCCUGAUCCAGCCAUACCGCGUGGGUGAAGAAGGCCUUCGGGUUGUAAAGCCCUUUUGUUGGGAAAGAAAAGCAGCAGGUUAAUACCCCGCUGUUCUGACGGUACCCAAAGAAUAAGCACCGGCUAACUUCGUG
rnacentral:rRNA from 1 species